rnacentral:rRNA from 1 species
UACGAAGGGGGCAAGCGUUGUUCGGAAUUACUGGGCGUAAAGAGCUCGUAGGCGGCUGUUCAAGUCGAACGUGAAAACUCGGAGCUCAACUCCGAGCCUGCGUUCGAUACUGGACGGCUAGAGUCUGGUAGGGGGAUCUGGAAUUCCGGGUGUAGCGGUGAAAUGCGCAGAUAUCCGGAGGAACACCGGUGGCGAAGGCGGCUUCCUGGACCGACACUGACGCUGAGGCGCGAAAGCUAGGGGAGCAAACGGG